rnacentral:rRNA from 1 species
UACAGAGGGUGCGAGCGUUAAUCGGAAUUACUGGGCGUAAAGCGUGCGUAGGUUGAUAGAUGUGUUGGCUGUUAAAUCCCCGAGCUUAACUUGGGAAAGCCAGCCAAAACUGUCUGUCUAGAGUAUGGUAGAGGAGAGUGGAAUUUCUGGUGUAGCGGUGAAAUGCGUAGAUAUCAGAAGGAACAUCAGUGGCGAAGGCGACUCUCUGGACUGAUACUGACACUGAGGCACGAAAGCGUGGGGAGCAAACAGG